rnacentral:misc_RNA from 1 species
GGCCUCUUUUUGCUGCAUGAUGUAGAGGAGUCCCCGCAUGACGACCUGGACGAUAAGCAUCGACAUUGGCACCCAAUUCUAUCAAAGUUUUUGCAACAUUGUAAAGCCCCGGAUUCAUGCACGCCACAAUCAAUGGUGUCUUCCCUUCCUUAUCUAUCCACUCAAGUCCAGCGCCUUCACGGUGGAGAGAUUUGAUACCUUCAACAUUUCCAUAAUUAACUUGCUGAUACAGAAGCUCGCCUUUGGAUUGCUGCUGCCCCAUUGUAGAAGAUAAAAUUGAAGAAAAAUUAGCAAAAAUUUUC